rnacentral:rRNA from 1 species
AGGAUGAACGCUGGCGGCGUGCUUAACACAUGCAAGUCGAACGAUGAAGCCGGGAGCUUGCUCCUGGUGGAUUAGUGGCGAACGGGUGAGUAACACGUGAGUAACCUGCCCCAGACUCUGGGAUAAGCACUGGAAACGGUGUCUAAUACCGGAUACGAGCUUCAGCCGCAUGGCUAGGAGCUGGAAAGAAUUUCGGUCUGGGAUGGACUCGCGGCCUAUCAGGUAGUUGGUGAGGUAAAGGCUCACCAAGCCGACGACGGGUAGCCGGCCUGAGAGGGUGACCGGCCACACUGGGACUGAGACACGGCCCAGACUCCUACGGGAGGCAGCAGUGGGGAAUAUUGCACAAUGGGCGAAAGCCUGAUGCAGCAACGCCGCGUGAGGGACGAAGGCCUUCGGGUUGUAAACCUCUUUUAGUAGGGAAGAAGCGAAAGUGACGGUACCUGCAGAAAAAGCACCGGCUAACUACGUGCCAGC